GAUGAACGCUGGCGGUAUGCUUAACACAUGCAAGUCGAACGAGCUAAUGGGUAACUAUUAGUUAGUGGCGGACGGGUGCGUAACGCGUAAGAACCUACCUUUUGGAGGGGGGAUAACAUCGGGGAAACUGAUGCUAAUACCCCAUAAUGCUGAGGAGUUAAAGCAGCGAAAGCUGGCCAAAAGAGGGGCUUGCGUCUGAUUAGCUAGUUGGUGGGGGGUAAAAGCCUCCCAAGGCCACGAUCAGUAGCUGGUUUGAGAGGAUGAUCAGCCACACUGGGACUGAGACACGGCCCAGACUCCUACGGGAGGCAG
rnacentral:rRNA from 1 species